rnacentral:lncRNA from 1 species
AUUUCUUCUACAAGUUUCUCAUCCUCUUCCAAAAACCAAGACUCUUUAGGUAACGAUGAACCUUUAUAAUUCUUGCAAAUCAAUUCAAGCUCAUUCCAUAACUGAGAUAGAGAAUCAAAACUCGCAACACGCAUCCAGACUUCUUCAUGCAUUACUCCUUGCAAAAUCUUCCUUGUUCUUUUUUCUUUUAUUUCUCGAA